GGCGCGGACGCGGGCGGCGGCGGCGGUGGCGGCGCGGCGGGCGCACGGCGGUCCCCAUGGCGCUGUGGCGCGGCUCGGCGUGCGCGGGCUUCGUGGCGCUGGCUGUGGGCUGCAUGUUGCUGCUGGAGCCGCAGCUGCCGGGCUCGGCGCUGCGCUCGCUGUGGAGCUCGCUGCAGCCCGCGCCCGCCCCGCCGGGACCCCGCUCCCCCGAGGGCCGGCUGGCGGCCGCCUGGGACGCGCUCAUAGUGCGGCCGGCCCGGCGCUGGCGCCGCGUGGCCGUGGGGGUCAACGCCUGUGUGGAUGUGGUGCUCUCAGGGGUGAAGCUCUUGCAGGCGCUGGGCCUCAGUCCCGGGGAGGGGAAGGACCACGCCGUCCUGCGAUCUGGCGCCGACCUGGAAGAGGCCUUCCUUCACUUCAUGGGGAAGGGAGCCGCUGCGGAGCGCUUCUUCAGCAAUCAAGAGGCCUUCCACACCAUCGCGCGGGCGGCGUCCGAGUUCCCCGGAGCCCAGCACUAUGUAGGAGGGAAUGCAGCUUUAAUUGGACAGAAAUUUGCAGCCCACUCGGAUUUAAAGGUUCUUCUUUGUGGUCCAGUUGGUCCAAAACUGCACGAGCUUCUUGAUGACAGUGUUUUCGUUCCUCCAGAGUCACUGCAGGAAGUAGAUGAGUUCCACCUCAUUUUAGAGUAUCAAGCAGGGGAGGAGUGGGGCCAGUUCAAGGCUCCCCACGCCAACAGAUUCAUCUUCUCCCAUGACCUCUCCAACGGGGCCAUGAGUAUGCUGGAGGUGUUUGUGUCGAGCCUGGAGGAGUUCCGGCCCGACCUGGUGGUGCUCUCGGGACUGCACAUGAUGGAAGGACAGAGCCUGGAGCUCCAGAGGAAGCGGCUCUUGGAGGUCGUGGCCUCCCUCUCCGACAUCCCCAGUGGCGUUCCGGUUCACCUGGAGCUGGCCAGCAUGACUAACCGGGAGCUCAUGAGCAGCAUCGUGCACCAGCAGGUCUUUCCUGCUGUGACCUCGCUUGGGCUGAACGAGCAGGAGCUGCUGUUCCUCAGCCAGGCGGCGAACGGGCCUCACUCUGCCCUCCCCACCUGGCAUGGUCUCCCCGACGUGGGCAUGGUCAGCGACAUCCUGUUUUGGAUCCUGAAGGAGCAUGGCCGGCGCGAGAGCAGAGUCUCAGAUCUCAGCAGGAUCCACUUCCACACCCUGGCCUACCACAUCCUGGCCACCGUGGACGGGCACUGGGCCAACCAGCGGGCGGCUGUGGCCGCGGGCGCACGCGUGGCGGGGACACAGGCCUGUGCCACAGAGACCCUGGACCCGGGCAAAGUGUCUCUUCGGGCGCCCCAUGAGUUCCUGACUUUCCAUUCCGGGCCCGGCUCCAAGGUCACCCUCAACCCCGACGAGCCUGUCGUGGAAUGGCACCGGGAAGGCAUAAGCUUCUACUUCACGCCCGUGCUGGUGUGUGCAGAUCCCGUGCGGACCGUGGGCCUGGGGGACGCCAUCUCGGCGGAGGGACUGUACUAUUCCGAACUUCGCCCACACUCAUAGGAAGGUGAAGGGGGCAGCUUUUCUCAGGAAGGAGAACUGGCCGGCUUAGAGUUCCGGGAAUGAAGCGAUUUGGAAAAUAGGAUGGAGGACGGCGGGGCCGUCUGUAGAUCUACUUGAAAGAUAGCCAAAGAACUAAGAAAUAGCAGGCGGAACCGUGCCAAAUCCAUUCCAGCCUAUGGACGUUGCAGACCAGUAUUUCCAGUUUUGAUCUAAAUGUAGGUCACUGGAUUCUUUUUUUUUUUCCCCAAUGUUGUAUGUUACAGGGGGAGUUACUUGACCCCCCAGUUUAAGCAGUGUCAGUAUUUUAGGCCACAAUUCUUUACUCUCAAGAGCAUGUCGACUGGAAACAGCACUUCCCUUGGCCGUGCUGGAAGUGGGCCGCCCCCGACACUGGGUGUUGCCUAGAAAGCCUGUUCAGCGUCAGCGUGACAGCACCUCAGGAACACUUCUCAGGCUCCUGUCACACGUCACACUGAGCCACAAGCAAGGAUGAAACCAUCCAUGUGCCUCAUAGCCACUGCAGGGAGGGGACUUCAAGGUGCAGUUGCCGUGGCCUGCCUGCAGGGGGCACUGCCGGCUGAAGGCCAUUGUGCCAUCCAGCCCUGCCUUCUGAGAGGGUGAAAAUUCCCUUAUAGUGAAACUACACAAAAUGUACAGAGUGGGACUUGCACAUACUUCUACCAAUGAGCUACAUCCCUGCUUUCUUAUUUCUUCAUGGCACAAACUAGAAUCUCGAGUAUAAUUAUAAAAGCGGUAAGUGUGAAUUUCCUUACCUUGAUCCUUAUCUCAGGCACAAAAUAUUCAGUGUUUCACCACUAAAUAUGAUACUUACUGCUAUUUUUUUUAAUGACUUGCUUUUUAUUUUUUAUAUUUUGCUCAUACCCGGCGAUGCUCGGGGUGACUCCUGGUUCUGCACUCAGGAACUACUCCUGGCAGUGCUCGGGGGACCAUAUGGGAUGCUGGAAAUCAAACCUGGGUCAGCCACGUGCAAGGCAAACACCCUACCCGCUAUUACUCCAGCCCCCUUACUGCUAUUUCUUAUAGAUGACUUUUAUAAAGUUAAAAAUGUUCACAAGGCCAUAGCAAUAGUAUAGCAGGGUAGGGCCUUGCAUAUGGCUGACUACCUUUGCAUAUGGCUGACCUGGGUUCAAUCCCUGGCAUCCCAUAUGGCCCACCAAGCACCACUAGGUGUGAUUCUUGAACAAAGAUCUAGGAGUAAUCCCGAGCACUGCGGGGUGUGGCCCCCCAAAACAAACCAAAAGUUCCCUUCUGUCCCAAAUUUGGUGAUGGGUUACAAUGGUUUUGUAUGCUUUUUUUGCAUCUUAUGACUUAAUUUUGUUCACACUUGGAAUCCUAGAACGUCCCGACUGGGUGACAGUAACCACAGUAAUACUUAUAAUGUUGCUGGACUUGAUUUUGUCGUGUACUAUGAACUUUCACACCUACAUCCAUGCAAAAUAAUGGUCAUACAAUCUGGGGUGUUCUUGCUCAAAAAAAUUCCUAAAAAUUUUGUAGUGAUUGUGGGUCACACCUGGCUGUACAGUGAUGAAAAUUCAACUGGAGUUGACCAUAUACAAGACAAGUGCCUUAACACCUUACCUGUAGUUGCUGGGCCCCUACAAGUUUUUGUAAUGUCAAAUUUAAGGGCAGCUUUUUUAUUUGUCAGUUAUAUUGUCAGUUCUUUCCUAUUUUGAUUUUGUGCUUUUUUAGCUUAUCAUGUUGAUGCUGUUUUUUAAUUUGUUAGUUAAGCUAUAUUCAAAUGUGAGCCAUCUGUGGUACACACCAGUGUCAAUGUAUGAAGGUAGAAAUCCUUGUCAUCCAUGCUUGUCUACCUUCUAUUUGUUUAAUUUCUCUCUCCUUUCUUUGCUGUUCAUGUGUGAUGACCCAAGUGUUGCACACAACACCUGGCUGUGGUGCAUAACAAGGAUUGCUGAGGUGCACAAAGUGCUCACAUACUUGUCUCUGGUGUGGCUGCACGUCACAGUGCUGGGGGCCACAGGCAGCAGGGCUGCCAGGUUCACACCCAGCACAGGGAUUUGAUCUUGUUACCGUACAAUUACCGGGCAGGCAUUCUAAACCCACACCCCUUUUUAUUCUGAAAGUAGCAUUACUGCUGAAUUUCUCUGUAAGCUAAAUCACACAAGUUUCGAUCUGUUUUCAUUUAGAAUACUUUCUAAUUUCCUUUGCCUUUUUUUUUUUUUUUUUUGCAGUACUGGGGAUUGAACCCAGGACUUAACCCAGGGCAAGGCAAGGAAAUGCUAGAUCUAUCACUGAGCUACAUCCCCGGCCCGUUAAUUCCUCCAAAACUUAAUGCAAAUGUGUUUGAUUCCUAUUAUUUGGAGGUUCCUCAGUAUCUAAAUGCUGUUGUUUCUAAUAUAAUUGGAGUCAGAGAACAUACCUAUAAAAUGUUUUAAUAUUCAUCUAACUUUGAGAUCUAUUUCAUAGCCUAGGUAUGUCAUGCUUGAAUGUGUUAAAAAAUGUACUUGCCAUUAAUGGUACUUUUCGAUACAGGUCAAAGUGAUCCUUCACACAUUUUGUCUGAUCGUAUUAACUGCUAGAAGAAGCUGUAUUUGUAAAUUUAACUGCAGUACAGUCUAUUUGUCUUCAAGUCCUUGGGUCUCUGCUGCAGUCACCACUUCACCAGAGUACACGACUACGUAACAGUAAAGAGCAUGAGCUUUGCGUCUGACCAGGCUUAAGUGCAAGAGACUACCACUUGGAGAAUUUACUUUGCAGUCCCUUUCCCAGAGUGAUUCCGGUGAAUACCCAAGUGACUCCUGCUGCUCCUUUAAACCAGAUUCCACACGCUUACUGGUUAGCGUUUGGGUGUAAUACGUAAACUAGACUCCGCAGCCCGAGUUCCCCUGCUCCGUGUGGCACCCCAGCCUUUCCAAUCAGUCCCUAUUUUCUGUUGAUUUUGUUUCUUCGAUCUCACACAUUCUUUCUCCUCUCUAAGCAGUUUUAUACCCUCAUUAUCUCUCCAUCUAACAAGCACAACAAUGAAAAAAUUUCUGAACAUGUAGAGGAAAACUAAAUGUAUAAUGAAUCCAAGGUGCUUCUGGCAGCACUCACCCAUUUUAUUUCUUGGGGAAACAAGUGGAAAGAGUUUAGCCCUGGACUAGGGGCCAGAGUGAUAGUAUAGCAUGUAGGCAUUUGCCUUGCACGUGGCUAAUCCGGGUUCAAUUCCUGGCAUCCCAUAUGGUUCCCCAAGCACCACCAAGAGUAAUUCCUGAGUGCAGAGCCAGGAGCAACCGCUGAGCAUCACUGGGUGUGACCCAAAAAGUAAAAAAAAUAAAAUAAAAAAAACAGCAGCCAAACUCCAUC